AUAAAUAAGCGGAGGAAAAGAAACCAAACGGGAUUCCCUUAGUAACGGCGAGCGAAAAGGGAAAUGUCCAGCGCCAAGUCUUGACAUGUAUGGUGUUCAAGAGAUGCGGCGUUAAUGUAUCGACGCAUCAUGCAUUGUUCCACAUUUCAAGUUCCUACGACCGGGACUUCCAGAGCGGGUGUAAGACCCAUAGAGAUGAGGAACCAGUGCAUGCUGAGCGAUGCAUUCUAGAGUCAGGUUGCUUGAGAGUGCAGCUUAAAGUCGGUGGUAAACUCCAUCCAAGACUAAAUAUUACAGCGAGACCGAUAGCAAACAAGUACCGUGAGGGAAAGUUGCAAAGCACUUUGAAGAGAGAGUUCAAAAGUACGUGAAACCACUGGGAGGCAAACAGAUGGAACCACGAAGUGUGCGCCUAGGUCGAUUCAAUCAUCACUUUUGUUCAGUUGUUGHUGAUCAGGGAUCUCUUCGGAGGUUGAUUUUCAACAAUUAYGAGCAAAGGUGUUGGUGCAUUUCGUGCCUGGGAUGCAAAGCCACGUUCAACUAGAGUUGGGACGGCUGUAAGAAAGAAUCCAAGAAAGGUGACCGUCAGGUGCUUGCAUUUGACGGCGUUAUAGUCUUGGAUUGGCACCGUCGCCUAACAUACUGGUUGAUGGAAAUUCUCCAUUUGGAGUUGAACCAUAUCUGCCUGUGAUUGUUAGUGGAUGUUGCGUAAUGUUCUUUGCGUAUCUUUCGAUGCGAAAAGACUUUACAAAAAUGUUGGCUAAUGGUUGCUUGCGUGAUAUGGUGGAACUGUGGUGUGAGUAGGUCGGUGUCCAUCUGACCCGUCUUGAAACACGGACCAAGGAGCCUAUCAUAUACGCGAGUCGCUCGGUCUUGUUUAGGCCUGGGAGGCGUAAUGAAAGUAAAGUUACGAGGCUUUGGCUGCAGUAACGGCUCGCCCACUUCGUUUAUUGGCGAUCUGGCGAAGCUGGAGCGUAUACCAUGGUACCCGAAAGAUGGUGAACUAUGCCUGGGCAAGACGAAGCCAGAGGAAACUCUGGUGGAGGUCUGUAGCGAUUCUGACGUGCAAAUCGAUCGUCAGACCUGGGUAUAGGGGCGAAAGACUAAUCGAACCAUCUAGUAGCUGGUUCCCUCCGAAGUUUCCCUCAGGAUAGCAGGCAUUUAGUGUGUGCAGUCUCAUCCGGUAAAGCUAAUGAUUAGAGGUCUUGGGGUUGAAACGACCUCAACCUAUUCUCAAACUUUAAAUGGGUGAGAUGGUUGACUUUCUUGAUUGAAGCCAACCAUUUGGAUGCAAAUGCCUAGUGGGCCAUUUUUGGUAAGCAGAACUGGCGCUGUGGGAUGAACCAAACGUCGAGAUAAGGCAUCAAAUGCGUACGCUCAUCAGACCCCAUGAAAGGUGUUGGUUGCUAUAGACAGCAGGACGGUGGCCAUGGAAGUCGGAAUCCGCUAAGGAGUGUGUAACAACUCACCUGCCGAAGCAACUAGCCCUGAAAAUGGACGAUGCUGUAGCGUGGAGCCGAUACUCGACCGUUGUAAUGACAGUAUUUUGAGAAUGAGAUAUUACAACGAGUAGGAGGGCCGCAAUGUUAGCAUUGAAGGUGUCCGGCGUGAGCCGGCCUGGAGCUAUCAUUGUU
rnacentral:rRNA from 1 species